UAUCCAAAAUAAAGAAAAGAGUAAAGUUUUUUAUCUCAUGAAAGAGAUAAAAAUUCUCUUUUCGCAACGAGAUUAAUAGCGGGUAUUGAAAAUGAGCGUCUCGUUUGAUAGUCGAUAUUAUAUAGUUAUUGAGGAAAAAUCGCGCGCGAGCCGCCCGAAUUACGCUUUCGUUAUCGUAAACAAAUAAAUAAUUUAUCUUCUCGCACGAAUGUGGCUCUUGCACCCAAGUCGCACUCAACUUGCGUGAGCUCAGCCUUCUUAUCCCUUAUGAUUAGUAUUAUUUAACAUUUAAAAGUCAUUAUGGAAGAUUGAAGUGCACCGCCGACAUGUCUCUCGCGUGCCUCCCUGUUUAAUUAAUCUCUCAUUCGUUUCAAUUAAUUAAAUCUCACAAAAGAAGAACGGUCGACUUAAGAAGGAUUAAUGUAAAAUUAAUUCUAAUCUUAAAAAUUGGAAUUAUUGAAAAAUUUUGGUUUUAUCUUUCUUUUACUUAAAAAAUUUAUUGUGGUUUUCAGAAUGAAACGCGACAAGAGGGAAUGUCACAGAAUUCAAUUCCUUAGUAUGGGAUUGGAAAUCGCUAUAUUUACAGUAACGCGAUAUCAUGGAAGACGACUGAUAUCACUUAUGGAAGGUCCAAAAUGUUAUCGACGCCUACGGGUCAUCGAUAAGAGCGCAAGUCGCUAUGCGAUUUAUAGGGAAGCACUGUUUUUAAGCUAAGAGGUGAAAAUAUUGCCUCGCGUGGUGUUACUGCCUUUGGCAUUGCGUGGACACGCAGUAUCGAGCGGGACUGAGCACGUCAUCAAAAAAUUAGCAAAAACAAUAGAUUUCGGUACUGUACGGUCGCACUUGUUGAGCAAACAAUCUCCGUGCGCCUGGGAAGAUAUACAUUUGGCACUGGAUUUUCUCUCUCCCUCUCUUUCACACUUCUCUUCGAGGAAAGAUCUCUUCAACUCUCUUCGUAAUGACGCGACGUGCAUCGAACUCUCGAUUUUGAAUCAAUCGCAAAAAAGUAAAAAUUAUAAACAUCAAGAAAAAUUAAAUUAAUUCUUCGCUGGACGAUUCGCUGGAGAAACUAAACGUCUAUGAUCGAAAAGAAAAGAAGAAAGGGGAUAUCGACAGGGCCGAAGGAAUCGAACAGUCCUCUCUCUUCGAGAUCACGAGGAG